rnacentral:SRP_RNA from 1 species
CCGGGCAGCUGGGGUGUUAGCGGUACCCUGUACCAGCAAUCCGCUAUAGCUGGAGUGAUAUUCUGCCCCGGGUCUUUUCAUUGUGAAGCAGCCCCCUGUAAGUGGCGUAGACGUCUGGGUCUUGCGCAAUAGGAACCUGUGAACCGUGUCAGGUCAGGAAUGGAGCAGCACUAAACAGGACCUCUUAUGUGCCGCGAGGGUGCCUGGGCUGAGUUGGCUGCAGGGGUAACGUUCAUGGUGUGGAUUCAAAGCAGAAUGCCCGG